GAAGGCUGGCUGGACCAGCACGGGAGAGUUGAGCAUAGUUCAGUGUACGCGCUGCGCUCUUUCACCAAGUUGUAAAAGGAACAGAAACUGGCUACUCUUUAGUUGACUGAUGUAGCUGGCAAGGAGGAUCAGAUGGUGACAGGGGUCUCAGCAGAGUCAGGCAGCCAAGGAAGACCAGUUUGUGACAGAGCUAGGAGGCGGUGCAGUGGUCCAAGAGGCAAGAGGGCUGUCGGUCCGUCUCACAUUACUGAUGGUAUGGAGUGGAAAAUGGGCAAGAACUACGGAUCCAAUGGAUCAAGUCAGCCAAGACAGCCGCCAUUAAAGAGAGUGAGAGAGUCACGUGGCUUUGACAUCUGACUAUCAAAUAGUUCAAAUUGUAGUUGUUUUUCUUCAGUGAUCGAGCCUGCCUGGAAUGCCAGGUGGACAGAAUGUACACUUUUGGGACGACUCCAUUGGUUCCUUUGUACCAGAUAAGUUCAAUUACCUUCCUUGCAUCUUUCUUACGAAUAAGGAGAUUUCUUAUUUUACCAACAUAAACAUUACUAAAAAUAAACAGUGAUUGAUCAAAUAAUAACCAUUACCAUCAUCAUCCUGUACUAAAAAGCACUAAAAUCUCUGGGUGACGUAGAUGUGCAGGCAAUUCAAAACAGAACAUUUGGUAUGAAUAUUUUAAAAUGGUAGGAGGCUGAAUUCUUAUCAGUCCUGUAGAGCACUCGUACAGUGAGGGGAAAAGGUAUUUGAUCCCC